CAAAGGCCGCCGCCUUAGGAUGGGUCUGCGGCCGAUUAGGUUGUUGUUGGGGUAACGGCCCAACAAGCCUGUAAUCGGUACGGGUUGUGGGAGCAAGAGCCCGGAGAUGGAUUCUGAGACACGAGCCCAAGCCCUACGGGGUGCAGCAGGCGCGGAAACUUUGCAAUGCACGAAAGUGUGACAAGGGAAUCCUGAGUGCUCAGCUAUGCUGGGCUUUUGCCAAGAUUAAAACCCUUGGCGAAUAAGUGGUGGGUAAGACGGGUGCCAGCCGCCGCGGUAACACCCGCGCCACAAGUGGCAAUCAUUUUUAUUGGGCCUAAAGCGUCCGUAGCAGGUUUUGUAAAUCUUAUGUGAAAUUGUUAAGCUCAACUUAACAACGUGCAAGAGACACUGCAAGACUUGGGACCGGGAGGAGUCAGAGGUAUUUCGUGGGUAGCGGUAAAAUCCUGUAAUCCACGAAGGACCACCUAUGGCGAAGGCGUCUGACCAGAACGGAUCCGACUGUGAGGGACGAAAGCCAGGGGAGCGAACCGGAUUAGAUACCCGAGUAGUCCUAGCUGUAAACGAUGCGCGUUAGGUGUAACGAUCUCCUGGAGACAACUGGGUGUCGAAGGGAAACCGUUAAGCUCGCCGCCUGGGAAGUACGGUCGCAAGACUGAAACUUAA
rnacentral:rRNA from 1 species